UACGUAGGGGGCAAGCGUUGUCCGGAAUCAUUGGGCGUAAAGCGCGCGUAGGUGGCCCAGUAAGUCCGUUGUGAAAGUCAAAGGCUCAACCUUUGAAAGCCGAUGGAUACUGCUGGGCUCGAGUCCGGAAGAGGCGAGUGGAAUUCCUGGUGUAGCGGUGGAAUGCGCAGAUAUCAGGAGGAACACCAAUAGCGAAGGCAGCUCGCUGGGACGGUACUGACACUAAGGCGCGAAAGCGUGGGGAGCAAACAGG
rnacentral:rRNA from 1 species